GAAGCAGGCCAGACCGCCGCUGGUGCACCACGCCGCAAGGCGGCACUGGAGGAAGGUCCGGACUGCACAGGGCAGCGUAGCAGCUAACGGCUGUCCACCGCGAGGUGAGGAUCAGAGCAACAGAGACGAGUCCAUGAGCUUCGGCUCAUGGGGUGAAACGGGCAAUCUCUACGCGCAGCAACACCAAAUAGGCCGGCGAUGAUGUGGCUCCGCGGAGCCGGCGGGUAGGUGGCAUCGAGCCGUGCGAGCGAUCCACGGCCCAGAGGAAUGGCGGUCACGGCCGACGCGCCCGCAAGGGCGCCGAGGCCGCACAGAAUCCGGCCCAUCGGCCUGCUUCACAA
rnacentral:RNase_P_RNA from 1 species